CUCUGAUUAUUUCCAAAUCAACUCUGCCAGUGGAGAAAUUCAAACCAGAGCCUUACUGUCUUCAACUACUGAUAGAUCAUUCACUCUGCGUGUUCGAGCAACUGAUGGUGGAGGACUGUUUGCUGAUUUGCGGAUUGAUCUCACUGUGAACAAGAACCUCAAUGCACCCACACUGAGUCAACAGAACUACACUGAGACCAUCUUUGAGAACCGUGCUUUGGGAUCUGUUAUUACUACAAUCAGAGCUAAUGACGCUGA